GCUGGUGAGUAAAACUAUUUUCUCUCUCUAUGGAAUAAACUACUAUAAAGCAAAACAUCCUUAACGUAACUAUGUAAAAAGUUACACGUUUACUUGUUAUGUACAAGUUCACCUUUUGUUUGGUGUCUAUAAGGUAUAAUUUUACUCGGUAUGUGUUUAUGAUGUCAUACGUUUUCUCGGUAUAUACAUCGUAUACGUUUACUUCGUAUGUUCAAGUUCCACUUUUACUUUAGUUAUAAGUGUACUCGGUGUGUAUAAGGCAUGCCUUUACAUCGUCUAUACAAGUUAUUCGUGUACUCGCUGUGCGCGUAAUUUGUACGUUUGGAGAGAUGAGGGAUCGAAUAAAAAAUCACAUUAUUUUCAUGUUUAUUACACUUAUUACAAUGACGACAAUAAUCACAAACAUGUAAUACGGUAAGUUUUAAAUAUUAUUUUAUUAUUUAUUUCUAUUAUCGUAUUUGAACAUUUCAGGACAUCAGAAAAGAAGAUGUGACUGUUGGGUAAACAAUGGCGUGGUCUGCUGUGGGUUUUUUCUUUGGAUCGGUGUCAGAUACUGACGGGCGGGUUAGGGUUGCCGGUUUUUCUUACCGUUUGUUACACCGUUCUUGAUAUACUGAUUUUGCCUAUGGAUUGCUUUGCUUACAUGGUCAAGAUAUAAGACACACGGCAGGUAUCCUCAUACGCAUCUGAUCCUACUUCUGAUGUUUCCAGUAGUCCGCGUUUGUCUUAUUCUCAAUUUUAUAUUCAUCUGGGAAGCCAAUCAAUUCAGAAAUAAUACAACUGUAUGAAAGUGAAUGUAUAAGCUAUUUCUAGUCAUUUAUAUUGUGGUACAGUUUCUACAGUCAUCUGGCCCAAAAUAUUGAUGAUUUCACUUGGAGCUCAAAUCCUGGCAUUCAAUUAAGGAAUAGUUUAGCAAACCCAAAAUUCACUCAGUUUGAUCAGCAAAAUGAUUUGUGCCAUAUGACGAGAGCUUGAAGUUGGCAUAAAAUUGCAAAAAUGCCAUUUUCAAUGAAAAUAUCCACAAAUUCAGAUUAAAAUCCAGACACACAGAUGGGAUUCGAGCAUUCUACAUUCCGCACAUAAUUCAGAAGCUCUAUCCACUACGCCGCUGGCGUUGAUGACAUCUGUUGAACAUAACCUGUUUGGAAGAUAUGGAAUCACUUCAAAUUCUGCUGGUUACACCAUCCCCAAAUAUAUUUCAAGGACAAUAUGUUGAGAAGGGUGUAUAAAUGAUGAAUACUGGAUAGCACGAGAUAAGCAUUAUAUCAACAGUAAGAGAAGGAGCAAUAUCGCCAUUUGAUGAUUUGCGCCCUGCCCACUGGACAUACCACGACUGCCACUCCAGUUCACUCGGCUGUACAUUGAUUUAGUAUUGGCUUCGGUUGGAGGGAGAGCUUAGACUGUGAUGGACUAAUGUCUCACUCUGUUACUCUUAUCCGUUAACCACUUAUCAUUCCGAGGAAUGACAAUGAUGAUAACAACUCAUCAGUACCUCCGCAACUAGUAGGAUUCAGAAGUAUUCAUAGUAGAGUUUUUCACCCCAAUCUCAAAUGAUGUGGUUGAUGCAGAACCCGCAUUCCCUAUGGUGAACUGAAACUAUUUCAAGUGAAAAGUGCCACAGGAUGACAAAACUUUCUUAUGAUGGAGACGUCACCAAUGCCGGUGAAGGGCUUCAAAAUGUAGGCCUAUGAUUGGAGCUUACAACCUUUGAGCAGGGGGUCUUUAUUCUGCCACACCUGCUGUGACACAGGGCCUCGGGUUUUGUUGUCUUAUCCGAAGGACCGCCCCAUUUAGUCGCCUCUUACGACAAGCAGGAAUACUGAGGACCUAUUCUAACCCGGAUCACGGAGGUGUAUCGUCCAUAAUCAGAUCCACAAAAAUUCCACAGGAAACCAACCAACAGGACGGACACAGAAUUGUGUACACUCGAUUUAAGAUGCAGAUAUUGAAUUUAAUUUCUAUCAAUAUGUUGAUGAGUGUAUACAUGUGAUAACUAAGUGAUGAUACACAAUAUACUGUCUGUCAUCGUAAAUAAACGAUAACAUACGUGUUGUAAUAAUCUGUGGUGAACUGACGAGAAAAUUACGUUUUGUUUGAAUAAAAUAUUUUAUUUAGG